AGUCUGCAACCCGACUACAUGAAGCUGGAAUCGCUAGUAAUCGCAGAUCAGAAUGCUGCGGUGAAUACGUUCCCGGGUCUUGUACACACCGCCCGUCACACCAUGGGAGUUGGAAAUGCCCGAAGCCAGUGACCCAACCGUAAGGAGGGAGCCGUCGAAGGUGGAGCCGAUGACUGGGGUGAAGUCGUAACAAGGUAGC
rnacentral:rRNA from 1 species